rnacentral:rRNA from 1 species
CACAUGACUCUCGGCAACGGAUAUCUUGGCUCUCGCAUCGAUGAAGAACGUAGCAAAAUGCGAUACCUGGUGUGAAUUGCAGAAUCCCGUGAACCAUCGAGUUUUUGAACGCAAGUUGCGCCCGAGGCCUUUUGGCCGAGGGCACGUCUGCCUGGGCGUCACGU